GGCAGCGGGGUCCGCCGGCUCGGAUUACCGUUUCCAGUCCCUUGCCCAUCUACCCUUCAUCCACCCAUCCACUCGCCCACCCAUCCACCCGUUCAUCCGUCCACUCACCCGUCUUUCCUCCCUCCCUCCCUUUCCUCCUUCCAUCCAUCCAUCCUAGGGAGAACUGAAACGCUUAGAAAGGGACCCCAAGCUUUCUGGCCACCUGUUCCAAAAGCGAUGGAGCUGGGGUUGUUGGGGACAACCUGGUAAAACUGGGGAGGAAGUGUUGCCCCUAAGAAUCAAGGAGCAGUCAGAGGCCAUGCCUGUCUUAUCUGAUCUGGGUAGUAGGGAGUAGGGCCUAUGAUUUCGGAGAGAGCUGGGCUAGGCCCUCUGUCACUAACACCCCUUCCAGGGCUGGGGCUUCAUGAGCCUCUGAACUUUGUUCUCCAGAAAGCCAAAGAUCACCAGGAACCUGGCAGCAUCCCAGAUACCCUCUCUGGGUGGGGCUUGGAGGCUUGGCGGACUUUCCUGUAAGUACAGGGGUGGCCUUGGCAUCCCAGGGCUCCACUGCCGGGUUGUCAGCCUUUCUUUCCCUGGGGCACACUUAGGUCUCUGUGUGUUCAGACCUAGAAUUCAAACUUGGGCAGGCCAGUGAAUUUACCUAUGCCAAGAACCCACAACAGGUGGUAAAAGAAGGAAAACACCCCUAAAGACAGGGCUAGGAAAAGGGAAGAGUUUGGAAGAGUAAAUCUUCAAUAACCAGGCUCUGCUAGAAUAUAAUAUGGUGUUGAAUAAGUAUUAUAUUCAUUCAAUGUAUGUUUACUAAAUAUGGCAAACCACUGUUUUAGUAUACAUAAUACUCAUGUAUAUUAUCCAUUGUAUAUAGACUGUAGUGUGUAAUGUUUAAUAAAGAUACAAAGGGUAGAGAAUAUCAGUAUGGUACUCAUUAUAUCCUGUAUAAUGUAUAGAAUGUACAUUGUCUAUAAACUUUACUAUGUAGCAUCCAAUAGAUAAGCCUGGCACAUAGUAGGCCCUCAAUAAAUGCCCACUAAAUGAAUCAUGAAGUAUCUUUUUGUAGUAACUCAGUUUGCUUUAAUCAUUGCAAUUUGGGCUAAAGAGGAUUCAGGUUAGGGAGGAGCUGUUGGACGUGCCUCUGGAAGGCACCAACCAGAGUCCAUGGGCAGGAGGGAGCAGAGACUCACAGAGCCAAGACUAAGUCCCUGGCAGGCCUCUUCCACCUCAUCCCAGCCUGUGGGGGGGGGGGGUGCGGUUAUCCAGGAAGCGGUAGCUUCCCUAGUCCUUUGAAACUCAGAUGCCCUGUGCCCCUUUUUCUCCCCCCCUGAAUAUUUUGGUUGGAGAAGAACAGCUGUCAGGAAGAGAGAAUACUUGAUAUCUGUAAUGGAGCCUGGGCUUCCCUCAAUUCUGUGGCAAAGUGCCCUUUUCAUAGCCAGCUGCUUUGUAAUGUCACCACCCAAAGAGCAGUCAGGCCAGAAAGAGUGCCUGAGUUGGAAGGUGCUGGGUGAAAGGUGAUCUUCCUAAUAGCCUAUCUAACAACGGAAAAUAAACUAUCAAACAGAAAGUAAGAGAAACAAACUCACAACACAACUACCCUUUGUUUAAUUAAAACACGAGUGGCCUAACUGGUUAUCUCUGAGUUCUUUCUCAGCCUUGAAAAAGCUUCUGAGCAGACAGUGGGACUGAGAACUUCCCCUGCUUCCUCAGGAAGAGACAGAUGCCUCCCGCUGUGGAGAAGAAAGAAGAAACUACGAAACUAAUUCUGCUAUCAAUCUGCUGCGUGAGAAACAGAAAAAGCCAACACAGCAGCUUCACAACAGCUUUUGUUAUCAGUCCCCAGAAGCAGAGAGAGGGGAAAAAAAAACAUUUCUAUCCUUUAAAAACACCAAGCAACUUUCCUCGCAGCCUGGCCUUUCUUUCCUCCCUCUGUGUGUCGUGGCCACUCUCUCUUUCUUUCUUUUUCUUUCUUUCUUUCUCUCUCUGUUGUUUCUCUCUUUUUCAGGAAAAUAAAUAAACGUUUGUAUAUCCUAAUCACUGAGAAUUCUUUCUCCUCCCAUGUAUGGACUUCGCACCUUAACACUGGGAUGUUCUAGAAAAUGAAAGAAAGUCCUGGAGUUGGAGCUUGGCAUGCAAAAGAAACAAGUGCUCAACUUCCCAGCUCGUGCCUACCCCUCUCCGGCACAACCUCUAGCAAUGUACCUCUGUCUCAGCAUCUGACCCCAAGUCUGAGAUUCCAACUGCUGCUUACCACGGUCUUCAGGGAAUGCGACUCGUUGCCAUUUAGCCAGUUACAGGAGACAGGAGUGGAAACCUGGGCAAACCAGCCUCCAUUUCUGAUUCGUUCCAAGAUGCUUCAGCACCCGUUGUGGACUGGAGCCUCCGACAGUUGCACUUCCAGAGGCUCUGGAAGGAGGAGAGUGGAAAUAAGGUGGAACUAGAGUGCUUCGGAAGAAAAGAGGGACUGUCAGAAGAAUGUGGCAUCAUCACAGGCAGGACAGGGAGAGGGCGCAGUUAAAUUCUCAUUAAGUUGACUUUGGGCUGCCCAAGUGACAUCUGAAUAAGGACAAUGUCAAGUAGGUAGGUAGAGAAAUCUAAAGCUGGUGCUCGAAAAGCAGUGUGGGCUGGGCCUGCAGGAGGGAGUGACAGCCUAGGGCCAGCAUGUAAGAAGGGACAAAGGCUGGGAUCAAGCUCAGGGGACAUCCAUCAUUCAGAGACUGAGUGGAGGGAAAAGAGCCAGAAAAGGGAAUUGAGGCUUAGCUGUCAGAGGAAAGCCAGGAGAAUGGCAUGCAGAAAACCCUGCAAGAGAAGAGUUUCAGGCACAUGUACAUGAUGCAGAUCGCCUAACUUGGGGACUGAAAAGUGCUCGGUGGGAUCCAACACCAGGGAGGCCAGGUUCUAGUGGGAUGUGGGGAGUGGAGGCCGCAUUGGAGUAGAGAGUGAAGGGCAGGGGGAGGAAUCAGCUGGAGGGAAAGUUCAAGGAAGGAGUUUGUGUUUUCAAACUGCAGAAACUAGAGCGUGUUUAGGGCGGAGGGAGGGGUCGAGGAUGCUGAGCCACAGAGGUAGGAGGGGGAGAGGGGCAGAAGUGCCCCUCUGCCUGCUCCAUAGUGACCCGCACAGGAGGGGGCUGCAGUGAGGCUGCCUGGAGGUGUGCAGAUUUACAACCAGGACAUUGAGCCUUUUCCAAAGGAUUGGGUUUUAUGUUUUCUGAGAAGUAAGAAGCAAAGUUAGCUAUUGGCAGUGAGGUGGGGAAGGGAUUUCAGAGAUUUGAGGUGGUGGAGAAGGAUCCAACCAUUAUUGCAGAGAUUAGCAGAUGAAGCUCUAAGUCUUAGGGUGCAGUGCAAGUCCAGUGGAGGCUGGUGACUUUAUUCUGCCAACAGUGGCAACUUCUCAGCCACCCAGGUGCAAGCUACCCAGGUGCCGCCCAUGACAGGAGAAGGUAAUGUGCAAAGACAGAGGAGCGAGAAAGGGACAGGAAUGUGGCUGUGGAACUCAGACCAGGUGCAGGGAGCUGAUGGAGGAGAAGGACGUCAUGAAAUUCAUGACCCUGAGGUACCCAGGAGGUCAAGGAGCCUGUGGGGCCCCUUGGGCCAAAAAGCUGGGAGAAGAGGGAGCGAUGGUUAGAAAUAGCAGCUGUGGGAAUUUGAAACCCCAUGAAGAAGGAGCCCUAAAAGUGCUGAGAUCAUUCAAUACCUGGGGACAGGCCCUAGGGGCCUAGACAAGAGUACAAAUGGAAACCCACAUGCCAUAUGUCUACAUUGUAAAAGCUGUAAACCAAGUUGGCCAGCUUAAGUAAAAUAUGUUCUAUCCUCUUGGUUAGACAAGUUGUCUUCAUAACGACCUGAAAGGUCAGGUUGUAAUGUGAAGUUCUCUGACUCUUUGGAGUUCUGCACUGAGCAUGGCAAAACAGGCAGAGUCGGCCCACCCAGUGCAGCCUUUUCUACCUGCAGUGCAGCCCUGUUCCUCAUGGGCACGUGUCCUUGUGGGCCCACAAGUCCAAGUUCUGUCCACACUCCCCUUCCACAAAUACUUGCCCUUGGCCGUUCACCUGACUGAGGAGUCUGUGCCUGGAUGGUGCAGUCUGCUCUCAUGGGGCUUGCGUCCAAUGCAAGCCCUGGAAAUAGGUUCGGGGCAUUUGGAGAAGAGAAUUUCAAGGUCUCAGGUACCUAGCAGGGAAGUUAGAAGAGGCUGGGACUCAGGCUCCAGGUGGACUCAUUCUAUGGCCCCUGGAUUCCCUGACCAGGGCUGCAGAACCAGACUAGGGCCUCUGGAGCAGGGGUCCAGUGUAGAAUCCCUCUUGCCAGGCACUGUCUACUGAUUUGAGUGGAAUAAGGAACAUUUCCGGAGUGCAGGAGAUGGCUGACAAGUGCCACCUGGCUUAGGUUGAGUGUGGUCACUCAUUCUGCAAACAUUUCCGAGCAUCUAUCUUGUAUAUUUUAAGCUUUUCAAGGACAAGAACAUUGUUCCAUUCAGCUUGGAAUCCUCAAAAGGGAUUAAUUCCGUGCCUUCAUAGAGUUGGUGCUCAUCAAAUAUUUGCUCAAUGAAAAAAUAAAAAAUGACAAGAGGCAAGGUGGGGAUGUGGGUGAGAGGGUGGGUCUGGAGCCUAACUUUCUGAGUUUGAAUGUUGGCUUUGCCACUUAAGUGGAUGGCCUUGGGCAGGUUACUUAACCUCUGUGUGCCUCAGUUUCCUCAUUUGUAAAUGGAAAUUACAAUUAAUUGCAUCAGUAUGUGUAAAGUGCUUAGAAGAGUGCCUGGCACAUAGAAAGCAUUCAAUCAAUGUUUCUGUCACCACACUUGUGGGGGCCAAGGAGCCAAAUGGCCUCUCUUCCUUAAAGAGGAAAUCCCUAAAAUUAUUAGGUGUUUUCACAUGAGAUAAUGUUUGUGAAUUUCAUUAGCACACUGCAGAAGUUUGGUAAAUGGUAGUCUCUUUUCUUUUCCCUCCUUUCCUUUUCCUUCUUUUAUGGUAUUACUGCUAACAACCUUCCUGCAAAUAAAAUUUCUUCCCACCAAUUCCUAUUAAUGCAUGAUCAUUACUGACAGGGCAAUGUACUAUUUUUUCACAGAAUAGAUUUAGAGAAUUUUUGAACCCAGAAAAACUUAGAAAGCAGCUGACCCCACCUUUGAUAUUACCAACUAGGAAAUCAUAGUUUAGAAAAGUUUGUCGAAUUGCCCGAAGUCACAGGGUAACUGUUAUCUCUGGCAGAGCUGAAGUUUCAGCCGGAGCUCUGGGCCUCUGACUAUUCGCUCUGUUAAUUACAACUUUCUAGUUGGGAUUGAAUUUUCUCCUAAGCCUUUAGGAAUCAACAUAAUAAAUGUAAUGAACUUUGAUAAAUUAAAUGUAAAUAUGUAAAAUGUAAUAAACAUAGUAAAUUAUCUUGAACCACCUGUUCAGAAUCUAUAGCUUCACUGGCAUGACUUGGUCAUCGUUUUCCAUCAAGUUUGAAAGCAACGGAAAAAGAAUCCAUCUAAAGGGAGAGUUUGCAACAGGGAAUUGGAAAGCCUUGGCCAAAGCCAUCCAGAGAAAUGAAGCAAAUUAUGCCUGCAGAAACUAUUGCACAGUGGCAAUUGUUACAAGAUGGGAUUUUCGAAAUAAUGUAUCUGUGGCUUUAAGACCCCCUGUGGCAGGUACCACCCCUAGUUUCUAAGGAAACCAGAGCAGAGGGCUGCCACCUCCAAAGUUCCAUUUCUGUGGCCCAGCAUCUCUGGGCUCUAUCCAACAACUAUUGUGAGCUGGAGAAAGGAGACCUUCAGUAAGAUGGGACAGAAGGCCUUCAGAACCAGUCAUCUGAAAAGGAGUAAAGAUAGAUUCACUGCCUUACAAGUUCCAAUGUUUCCAAGUGAAAAAGUAGUAUAAAUGGAGAACAAUAGUCACAAUAAUUCUGGCCAAUGGGGUGUAGACCAUAGGUAAAUUUAUUUAGUCCCAAAUGCCAAAUCUCAGCAAGUAUCCCCUCUGCUCCAGAACUAGGGCCCAGGUGCCCUUCCUAUGGAGGAUUUUAUUUAUUUUGUAUUAUUUUUUUUUAUUUUAUUUUUUUUAGACA